rfam:Myotis davidii contig44481, whole genome shotgun sequence.
GCCUUGGCUAAGUUGGUUAGAGCAUUGUCCUGAUAAGCCAAAGUUGCGGGUUUGAUCCUGGUCAAGGCA